rnacentral:rRNA from 1 species
GAUGAACGCUGGCGGCGUGCCUAAUACAUGCAAGUCGAGCGAACAGAUAAGGAGCUUGCUCCUUUGACGUUAGCGGCGGACGGGUGAGUAACACGUGGGUAACCUACCUAUAAGACUGGGAUAACUUCGGGAAACCGGAGCUAAUACCGGAUAACAUUUGGAACCGCAUGGUUCUAAAGUGAAAGAUGGUUUUGCUAUCACUUAUAGAUGGACCCGCGCCGUAUUAGCUAGUUGGUAAGGUAACGGCUUACCAAGGCAACGAUACGUAGCCGACCUGAGAGGGUGAUCGGCCACACUGGAACUGAAACACGGUCCAGACUCCUACGGGAGGCAGCAGUAGGGAAUCGUCCGCAAUGGGCGGAAGCCUUACGGAGCAACGGCGCGUGAGUUAUGAAGGGUUUCCGCUCGUAAAACUCUGUUAUUAGGGAAGAACAAACGUGUAAGUAACUGUGCACGUCUUGACGGUACCUAAUCAGAAAGCCACGGCUAACUACGUG